rnacentral:rRNA from 1 species
CCUACGGGAGGCAGCAGUGGGGAAUAUUGGGCAAUGGGCGCAAGCCUGACCCAGCAACGCCGCGUGAAGGAUGAAGGUUUUCGGCUUGUAAACUUCUGUCGCGCGGGCCGAAGAAUGACGGUACCUCGUAAGAAAGCCCCGGCUAAAUACGUGCCAGCAGCCGCCGUAAUACGUAGGGGGGAAGCGUUGUCCGGAAUGACUGGGGGUAAAGGGAGUGUAGGCGGAUCAUGCAGUUAGAUGUGAAAUCCCGCGGCGUAAACGCGGAACUGCAUCUAAAACUGGUAAGCUGGAGUGCAGGAGAGGUGAGUGGAAUGCCUAGUGUAGCGGUGGAAUGCGUAGAUAUUAGGAGGAACACCAGAGGCGAAGGCGACUCACUGGACUGUAACUGACGCUGAGGCUCGAAAGCGUGGGUAGCAAACAGGAUUAGAUACCCUGGUAGUC